rnacentral:rRNA from 1 species
AAAUUGAAGAGUUUGAUCAUGGCUCAGAUUGAACGCUGGCGGCAGGCCUAACACAUGCAAGUCGAACGGUAACAGGAAGCGCUUGCUGCUUCGCUGACGAGUGGCGGACGGGUGAGUAAUGUCUGGGAAACUGCCUGAUGGAGGGGGAUAACUACUGGAAACGGUAGCUAAUACCGCAUAACGUCGCAAGACCAAAGAGGGGGACCUUCGGGCCUCUUGCCAUCGGAUGUGCCCAGAUG